UGGGGAAUUUUGGACAAUGGGGGAAACCCUGAUCCAGCCAUGCCGCGUGUGUGAAGAAGGCCUUCGGGUUGUAAAGCACUUUCGGACGGAACGAAAUCGGCGAGGUGAAUAUCCUCGCUGGAUGACGGUACCGUAAGAAGAAGCACCGGCUAACUACGUGCCAGCAGCCGCGGUAAUACGUAGGGUGCGAGCGUUAAUCGGAAUUACUGGGCGUAAAGUGUGCGCAGGCGGCGUUGCAAGUCGAGUGUGAAAGCCCCGGGCUUAACUUGGGAAUUGCGCUCGAAACUACGAUGCUGGAGUGUGGCAGAGGAAGGUGGAAUUCCACGUGUAGCGGUGAAAUGCGUAGAGAUGUGGAGGAACACCGAUGGCGAAGGCAGCCUUCUGGGCCAACACUGACGCUCAUGCACGAAAGCGUGGGGAGCAAACAGG
rnacentral:rRNA from 1 species